rnacentral:rRNA from 1 species
UACGUAGGGUGCAAGCGUUGUCCGGAAUCACUGGGCGUAAAGGGCGCGUAGGUGGCCACCAUAAGGCCGCGGUGAAAGUUUGGGGCUCAACCCCAGAUCGGCCGCGGCGACUGUGGGGCUGGGGCACUGUAGAGGCAGAUGGAAUCCGGGUGUAGCGGUGGGAAUGCGUAGAGAUCCGGAAGAACACCAGUGGCGAAGGCGGUCUGCUGGGCGAGUGGGAGCUUCGGGCUCUCUUUAGCCGACACUGAGGCGCGA